GCAAGUCGAGCGGUAACAGAAAUUAGCUUGCUAAUUUGCUGACGAGCGGCGGACGGGUGAGUAAUGCCUGGGAAUAUGCCUUAGUGUGGGGGAUAACUAUUGGAAACGACUGCUAAUACCGCAUAACGUCUACGGACCAAAGGGGGGGAUCUUCGGACCUCUCGCCAUUUGAUUAGCCCAGGUGAGAUUAGCUUGUUGGUGAGGUAAGAGCUCACCAAGGCGACGAUCUCUAGCUGGUCUGAGAGGAUGAUC
rnacentral:rRNA from 1 species